CAUUAAUUAGAGAGAGAUUAGCAUAUUUUAAGAGAAUCUGCGUUUUCAUAUAGCUGCAUUCUAUGAGUUUCCCUCUGGUACCAUCUCCACUAGAUACAUAACGCUUGAUCGGUAUGACUGUUUUAGUGUUUUUGGUCGACAAGAUUCUGUAAUUGGGCCCUCAUAAUUGUCAGCACCAGGCCCACUGGGCUCUUAAUCUGGCCCUGCAUAGAAGCAAUGACACAAAAGAGUUUAUGCAGGCAAGACUGGGACAAAAAAAUGUGGAAUCAGCAUUUCACGGCAGAGCAGUCAAGAAGAGGAGGCGGAGUCAGAGGACACAUGUUGUGUUAUCACCAAUGACACACACUCCUCCCCAAAGUGGACAUGCCAGUUCAAUGCCCCUACAGGCCAGCCCAUGCACAAAGCUAUGCUCAAAAGCUCUUGUGUGGUGGGAUAUUGCUUUUAGGUUGAACGUGUGUGUAUGCCGAGAGGAUUGUGUGGAGUGGUGUGUGCAUAGGGGCUAUACUAAUAGGCAGAUAGGGGCUGUAGUGUGUGGGAGGAUAUGGGUUCAACACUAUUAUAUACAAACCAGAGCUUUAUUUGGUCUAAUCCACAAAGUGGGGGGCUACAAGCUUUUGGUUGGACGGUGAUUUCCCCACUAUAAUAGGGUUCUCUCUUUGGGCCAGCACUGAGUAAAAACGCCCCUAAAUGGUUUUAACGGAUCCCCUAUACUUCGACUGAGUGUAUCUGCCGAAGAGUCUCCCUAGCCCCGCAGAGUGAAAAUGUGUCAUAGCUCUAGUAUCCCUAGGCAUCAGCCAAGACUUGAUGAAGGGUAAAUCAGAAUAUUUUAUUAGGGCCAAGUUGCCAGUUUAUAUACACAGACCCCUCGCAUGGGGUCUCCACUCAGGUUUACAGUAAGCCCGCCCAGGCGCCUCUGUGUCUGGGAGAUAAGAGAGCUGGCUUUUCCUUAAACUAAUUAUCUCCCAGGCACUCAAGGUACCUUACAAAACGGUCCACUUUCGGGAGUUCCUAUUUAAACAUAAACAAUAUUUUCCCCUGGCUCGUACAUAGUGAAUGUUCCCCUCGUUCGGGGGAGUGUUUUCC